UACGUAGGUAGCAAGCGUUGUUCGGAGUUACUGGGCGUAAAGGGUGUGUAGGCGGUUGUUUUAAAGUUUGGUGUGAAAUCUCCCGGCUCAACUGGGAGGGUGCGCCGAAUACUGAAUGACUAGAGUGCGGGGAGAGGAAAGUGGAAUCCUGGUGUAGCGGUGAAUGCGUAGAUAUCAGGAGGAACACCGGUGGUGUAGACGGCUUUCUGGACCGUAACUGACGCUGAGACACGAAAGCGUGGGUAGCAAACAGG
rnacentral:rRNA from 1 species